GACGAACUGUGCAAACGUUAUUCGGAAUCACUGGGCUUGAAGAGUGCGUAGGUGGUUUUGUAAGUAGGGUGUGAAAGCCCCCGGCUCAACCGGAGAAUUGCGCCCUAAACUGCAAGGCUGGAGUGAGGUAGGGGUGUGUGGAACUUCCAGUGGAGCGGUGAAAUGUGUUGAUAUUGGAAGGAACGCCGGUGGCGAAAGCGACACACUGGACCUUGUCUGACGCUGAGGCACGAAAGCCAGGGGAGCAAACGGG
rnacentral:rRNA from 1 species